GGGGAUUUAGCUCAGUGGUAGAGCGCUUGCCUAGCAAACGCAGGCCCUGGGUUCAGUCCCCA
rnacentral:tRNA from 1 species